rnacentral:rRNA from 1 species
UACGGAGGGGGCUAGCGUUGUUCGGAAUUACUGGGCGUAAAGCGCGCGUAGGCGGUUUGAUGAGUCGGAUGUGAAAGCCCCGGGCUCAACCUGGGAAUGGCAUUCGAUACUGUCAGGCUCGAGUACGGUAGAGGGAGGUAGAAUUCCUGGUGUAGCGGUGAAAUGCGUAGAUAUCAGGAGGAAUACCAGUGGCGAAGGCGGCCUCCUGGACCGAUACUGACGCUGAGGCGCGAAAGCGUGGGGAGCAAACAGG